rnacentral:lncRNA from 1 species
AUUCGUGUUCAUUCAUAAUAUUGAAAUGUAAGUUGUAUUUGAUGAUAAUACAAAACAUAUAUAAAGGUUGAGGAUGAACACGGAUGCGGCCACUUUCAUUUUUGACAAAAACCAUCUGAAAAGUGACGUUUUUUGGCAUAUUUGAUAGAUUUUUCACAUUUAAGCUUGAAUCAGAGCGUUUUUAAUGACUUAAUCAGUUAAAAUCUUUCACAUAAACUAAUCAAAUCAAUUGAAAUAGACACUUAAGUUUUUAAAAAGUGUCCAAAAACUUUCGUUAGAUGAACCUCAAAUUUGAGGCCAAAAUCGGCCCUUACCGGACCUACUCCUUUGUA